ensembl:lncRNA
GUUUUCUCAAGACGUCCACGCAAUGAAGUCAAACACGUUGGUAAUAAUUCCAACAUCAAAUAUGGGGUAGAGACAUGUAUAAUAAGUUCUAAGGAUGAGGACUGUAGUCGCCAGAAUCACCUGGAUUCAAAUCCAGGUCACGGCCCUGCAGACGCUCUGCAACGCACGUUGUGAAGCAGCGGUCGGAGUGAGCAGAUGUGGUCGGAGUGCUGCCUUCUGGCGUCCUCCUCUCUGACUCUGAUCUACGCCACGUUUCCAGAGGUCCUCCUAGCUGAUGCGCUGGACACCACCAAUCCUGAGGGGUCACGCCAAACCACGACGAGGAGUUGAUGCCCCAGUGGGCAGACGGCUGCUCUCUGGGGAGAUGAUGGAUUACGGAGAAGGAAGACGGG